rnacentral:rRNA from 1 species
GUAACUGCGAGUGAAGCGGGAAAAGCUCAAAUUUAAAAUCUGGCAGUCUUUGGCUGUCCGAGUUGUAGUCUGGAGAAGUGUUUUCCGCGCUGGACCGUGUACAAGUCUCUUGGAAUAGAGCGUCAUAGAGGGUGAGAAUCCCGUCUUUGACACGGACCGCCAGUGCUUUGUGAUGCGCUCUCAAAGAGUCGAGUUGUUUGGGAAUGCAGCUCAAAAUGGGUGGUAAAUUCCAUCUAAAGCUAAAUAUUGGCGAGAGACCGAUAGCGAACAAGUACCGUGAGGGAAAGAUGAAAAGCACUUUGGAAAGAGAGUUAAACAGUACGUGAAAUUGCUGAAAGGGAAACGCUUGAAGUCAGUCGCGUUGUCCAGAACUCAGCCUGGCUUUUGCUUGGUGCAUUUUCUGGAUAACGGGCCAGCAUCAAUUUUGAUCGUUGGAUAAAGGUCUUGGGAAUGUGGCACCUUCGGGUGUGUUAUAGCCCUUGAUUGCAUACAACGAUUGGGAUUGAGGAUCUCAGCAUGCCUUUAUGGUCGGGGUUCGCCCACGUUCAUGCUUAGGAUGCUGGCGUAAUGGCUUUAAUCGACCCGUCUUGAAACACGGACCAAGGAGUCUAACAUGCCUGCGAGUAUUUGGGUGGUAAACCCGAGUGCGCAAUGAAAGUGAAAGUUGGGAUCUCUGUCGCGGAGAGCACCGACGCCCGGACCAGAUCUUUUGUGACGGUUCCGCGGUGGAGCAUGUAUGUUGGGACCCGAAAGAUGGUGAACUAUGCCUGAAUAGGGUGAAGCCAGAGGAAACUCUGGUGGAGGCUCGUAGCGAUUCUGACGUGCAAAUCGAUCGUCAAAUUUGGGUAUAGGGGCGAAAGACUAAUCGAACCAUCUAGUAGCUGGUUCCUGCCGAAGUUUCCCUCAGGAUAGCAGAAACUCAUGUCAGAUUUAUGUGGUAAAGCGAAUGAUUAGAGGCCUUGGGGU